rnacentral:rRNA from 1 species
UACGUAGGGUGCGAGCGUUGUCCGGAAUUAUUGGGCGUAAAGAGCUCGUAGGCGGUGUGUCACGUCGGCCGUGAAAACCUGGGGCUUAACUCUGGGCGUGCGGUCGAUACGGGCAUCACUAGAGUUCGGCAGGGGAGACUGGAAUUCCUGGUGUAGCGGUGAAAUGCGCAGAUAUCAGGAGGAACACCGGUGGCGAAGGCGGGUCUCUGGGCCGAUACUGACGCUGAGGGACGAAAGCUAGGGGAGCGAACGGG